CCUACGGGUGGCAGCAGUGAGGAAUAUUGGUCAAUGGGAGAGAUCCUGAACCAGCCAAGCCGCGUGAGGGAAGACGGCCCUAUGGGUUGUAAACCUCUUUUGUCGGAGAACAAAACCCGGGACGUGUCCCGGACUGCGUGUAUCCGAAGAAAAAGCAUCGGCUAACUCCGUGCCAGCAGCCGCGGUAAUACGGAGGAUGCGAGCGUUAUCCGGAUUUAUUGGGUUUGAAGGGUGCGUAGGCGGUCCGUUAAGUCAGCGGUAAAAUUGCGGGGCUCAACCCCGGCCUGCCGUCGGAACUGGGUGCCUUGAGUGGGCGAGAAGUAUGCGGAAUGCGUGGUGUAGCGGUGAAAUGCAUAGAUAUCACGCAGAACCCCGAUUGCGAAGGCAGCAUACCGGCGCCCUACUGACGCUGAGGCUCGAAAGUGUGGGUAUCAAACAGGAUUAGAUACCCUAGUAGUC
rnacentral:rRNA from 1 species